rnacentral:lncRNA from 1 species
UCAACAUUUAUAAUGUCAUAUGCAAUAGUUUUAAGCCAUAAGCGACAUACAUAAAUGUAACUAACACUGUAGUUACUAAAACAAAUCUUAAUUAUCAUCAUUUUGACUAUCUACAUCAGGUCCCUGAGAAUCUCGGACUGAAUUAGCCUGAAUGAACCUGGCAAUUUGAUAUUCCAUCACUUCCAUCCGCUCAUUCAUCUCUAUCAGUUGUACUUCAGCUGCUCAUUUUCUUCAUUGACAACGGUUGAAGUGCAAGGCAUAAUUUCAGACUGAUAGAAGUUGCUUGUGAUGAACCAACUCCAUAUACCCUGUUCAAUUGUCUGGACCUCCAACUGCAUUAAGAAAUAAUGCAUUUCUAUCCAUAGGCUGACCAGAAGUAUUCUGCUGCUCGCAAAGAUUCACAAAGGUUUCCUAAACAUAGCUACAGUACGAGUCAAACUUGAUGAUCAGUUAACUAUAGAUCAGCCGAUAAAAAAAAGUAUACUAGGUUGCACAUUAUUAUCAUCAACCAAGCCAUUCUCAUCAUAAAACCAAUACGGUGUGUGCUAUCCUCU